AGACCAGGAAGGAAGGGACAGCAACCCUUCCGUGGGCGACUUCGCGAGCUCGUCAGAUCCUCUUCUUCUCAUCCCGUCUAAGUUUAGUCGUCGUACUCCCUAUUCCGCCGGUACUGAUUCCACUGUAUAACUCCUCGUCCUGCGUCGCUAUCCCUCCGUCUCUAACGAUGAAGCCGGAAGCAGGUGAAGAAGCGGGACGUGUACGUAUAGAAGGGCGUGGUAAAGGAGGUUCGAUCCUACUUACAUUGGUGCCAGGUCGCCGUUGUUGAAUCCAGACUCUUUGUAGGCGGGUGUUCGGUGGUAUCGACUGCCGAUACACUACGAGCUCGAGGCUGAGAAGUAAGCUAGUAGUUAAGAGUCCAAACAAGUAGAAGACGCAUGGAGUUAAAGAACCGAAGACCUUGUUUG
rnacentral:rRNA from 1 species